GGUAUGGGAUGAGCUUGCGUCCGAUUAGCUAGUUGGCGGGGCAACGGCCCACCAAGGCGACGAUCGGUAGCCGGCCUGAGAGGGUGAUCGGCCACAUUGGGACUGAGAUACGGCCCAGACUCCUACGGGAGGCAGCAGUAGGGAAUAUUGCACAAUGGGGGAAACCCUGAUGCAGCAACGCCACGUGUGGGAAGAAGCAUUUCGGUGUGUAAACCACUGUCAUGAGGGAAUAAGGCCUAUUUUCGGAUAGGAUUGAAUGUACCUUGAGAGGAAGCACCGGCAAACUUCGUGCCAGCAGCCGCGGUAAUACGAGGGGUGCAAGCGUUGUUCGGAAUUACUGGGCGUAAAGGGAGCGUAGGCGGAGAUUCAAGCGGAUUGUACAAUCCCGGGGCCCAACCCCGGCUCUGCAGUCCGAACUGGAUCUCUUGGAUAGUUCAGGGGCAGGC
rnacentral:rRNA from 1 species